rnacentral:lncRNA from 1 species
ACUUGCUGAGCUGCCGCUCCGGCCGCUGACACUGGAACAGAGAGAUGUGGCUUUUAGCCCCUGUUGAGGCACCACCGACUACAGGUGCCCCACCAUUGCCAUGCCUCUGUGUCCUCCAGAGUAUUCGGUGGUACAGGUCCAAGGGAUGGAUGCCAUGGAGAUAAAGUCCCUGGCCCAGGGCCCCCCAGCCCGAGGGGCAGGAGACCUUUCCAUGCCUCUGGGAUGUUUUUGUUUAUUUCUAACUCUGAGCUCCUUCUCUGUGGGGGAGGAGCUUCCCUUUCCAUCUCCAGGGCUACUGAGAAAAUGUUGGACAGAGGAAGGAAGGCAGGGCAGGGCCAGGCUGCAGCUAGCAUCUGGACUGUUGGCUAAUGCUGGUGAUGGCGCAGAAGACCCUUGCCCCCUUUUACAGCUUCUCCCCUAGAAGCCUGGCCCAGAUGCCUGAAUUCCCACCUUUCAUGCACUUAGCCCUGGGGCUUGCAGUUUUGCCAGGUCCUUACUGCCUCCUCCCUCCUGUGGCCUGCCCGGAGGGGCACACAAGCAAAGCCAGUGCCUCUGUGGACAGGCAGCUUAAGACAUUAGGAGACAAAUGAAGGAAGGAGGCAAAACUUCCAAGGCCGGACUAUCUCCUCUGGACCAGAGUUUCGGCCUGCUGGGAAUGGAGUCACCAGCCCCGGGGGGGCUGACAGGUGGCUCCCGCCUACAGAGCUGUAACUCAUCCCUGCUGCUGAACAGGAAAGGGCCUGCCUUACCCAGAUCCCAUCCUCCGGAAAGGGUUAGUCAGGCAAGUGUGCUGAGAGGCCCCUGGGAACCUCGUCUCGAUUAACCCAUCAGAAAGCAGCCCAUCCUUUGCACCCAGCUCUCAGAUGGAAAAGUGAAGCCCAGAAGGAAGGGACCUGACACGGAGGCUUCCUUGGUAGCAUUUCAGUCUCAAGGGAAGAACUGUGGGCCUCCCCUGGAGCACUGGUGAAGUAAGGGGUUGGUUUGGAUAUUGUCUCCUGACUGGGAUAUGGGCAGGACUGACAGGGAGCUGGAGUCCUAACGAAGCCUGGGCUAGGUGCAGGAAGAACCAACCCAGUGGUCUCCUGACAUCUCCCACGCCCCCACCGCAGCUGGGUCACCUCCAGAAUACGGAGGAGAGAGCUGGAGGUGGAGGAACUAAGGACCUUCUUUGCCAGGUGGGGACUUAAAGUUUCAGUUACUCAUUGUUGGGGCUCAGAAACCAAUACCCCGAAAUAUAGUGGUGUGACAUUCUGAACUGAAGAAGCCUUAAGGUCUCUCCGACCAGACUCCCACAGGCCCCCCAACCCUUUGUCUCUUCCAAAGCAUACAGUGAAGUUGUUCUCUGAAGUUCCUCAUCUGCCUUAAGUCUGGACCCACCAAAGAAGAAAACAAUGACCACUGGUCCCUUCCCGGAGUUUUCUCUGACUGAACUGCUGUCACAGGAAGAAAGACUGAAGCCUGCUCACAUACCUGGACAGAUUUUGCAAACCGUUGUCUGCUCUGUGAGCCCAACAGACUUUGUCCCAGGCCACUGUAUGUUCUUCAAGCCCACUGAAUUCCCCUGAAAAUCAUUUACUAGCCCCCUGAAAUUACCCACACUUCCCCAUUGCUCAUCUGUACCCCAUUUCGUGGUGGGGCAGUCACUCUGAUUUCCCCUUGCAUGCUAAUGAAUGUGUAUUCCAUUUCUAUUCUGCUUUCAUGAGCUGACUUUUCAGUGAACCUUCAGAGGGUAAAGGGGAAGUUUUCCCUUGGCCCCUGCACCGCAAUUGGUAAGGUCCAAAAUGUUAAAUGGAAAAUUCCAGAAAUAGCUGGUCGUGAUGGCUCCUGCCUGUAAUCCCAGCACUUUGGGAGGCCGAGGUAGGUGGAUAGCUUGAAGUCAGGAGUUCGAGACCAGCCUGGCCAACAUGGUGAAACCCUGUCUGUACUAAAAGUACCAAAAUUAGCUGGGCGUGGUGGCGCACGCCUGUAGUCCCUGCUACUUGGGAGGCUGAGGCAGGAGAAUCACUUGAACCUGGGAGGCAGAGGUUGCAGUGAGCAGAGAUCGCACCACCACUCCAGCCUGGAUGACAGAGUAAGACUCCGUCUCAAAAAAAAAAAAAAAAGAAAAUUCUAGAAAUAAACAAUUCAUGUUUUAAAUAACUUUCAUUACAGUAUAUUGUUAUAAUUGUUCCGUUUUCUUACUGGUUAUUGUUAGUCUAUUACUGUGCCUAAUGUAUAAA